rnacentral:rRNA from 1 species
UACAGGGGGGGCAAGCGUUGUUCGGAAUUACUGGGCGUAAAGGGUCUGUAGGUGGCCAACUAAGUCAGACGUGAAAUCCCUCAGCUUAACUGGGGAACUGCGUCUGAUACUGGAUGGCUUGAGUGUGGGAGAGGAAUGCGGAAUUCCAGGUGUAGCGGUGAAAUGCGUAGAUAUCUGGAGGAACACCAAUGGCGAAAGCAGUCUGCUGGACUAACAUUGACACUGAGGCACGAAAGCGUGGGGAGCAAACAGG